AUGUGAGUCAGACUGUGUCUGAACUGAGAGAGAAACUAGAAGACUUCCUUAAAGGAGAAUGGACCAAGAUCUCCACUACAGUGAAUAUAGUGGAUGUUGUACUGCCUCCAGAGCCCAAGACCAGAGAACAGUUGUUACAAUAUUCCUGUCAGCUCACACUGGACCCAAACACAGCACGCACACACCUCUCUCUGUCUGAAGGGAACAGAAAGGUGACCAGUACAGACCAAGUCCAACCAUAUCCUGACCAUCCAGACAGAUUCACCUACUGGUGGCAGGUUCUGUGUAGAGAGGGUCUGUCUGGACGCUGUUACUGGGAGGUGGAGAGGACUGGUGGUGUUGCUACAGCAGUCUCAUAUAAAGACAUCAGCAGAACAGAGAGAGAUGGUGUAUUUGGAUACAAUAACAAGUCCUGGAGUUUAAAGUGCUCUAGUGAUGGUUAUUGUUUCAGACACAAUAAUGUUGAGACUAAAGUAUCAGGCCCUCAGUCCUCCAGAGUAGGAGUGUACCUGGAUCACAAGGCAGGUACUCUGUCCUUCUACAGUGUCUCUGACACAAUGACCCUCCUCCACAGAGUCCAGACCACAUUCACUCAGCCCCUCUAUCCUGGGUUUGGUCUCACUGGUUCUGCUGAGCUGGUUAAACUGUAAACUGAUUUGUUAUUAAUUAAAAUUCAAUGCAAUGUUUUAAUCUUGUA